UCAGCGGGUAAUCUUAUUUGAUUCGAGGUCGACUUUUUGAAGUGAAAUUGGCAAAUAGAUUAUAAUACAAAUUUCACAUAUCGCUGUGAUUUUUGAGAACAAAAUAUUGCCUAAAAUUUUAGAAUUUUUGAACUUUUUCGAGUUCAAAAUAUUCAACACAAAGAAAUAAACAAAAUAUUUCUUCAAUAGUUUAAACGACGCUCGAACAAACAUACCUAAAAGAAUACUCUUAGGUGCAAUGUGCGUUCAAAGAUUCGAUGAUUCACUGAAUUCUGCAAUUCACAUUACGUAUCGCAUUUCGCUGCGUUCUUCAUCGAUGCCAGAACCA
rnacentral:misc_RNA from 1 species